rnacentral:rRNA from 1 species
UACGUAGGGUGCGAGCGUUAAUCGGAAUUACUGGGCGUAAAGCGCGCGCAGGCGGUUUUUUAAGUCAGAUGUGAAAUCCCCGGGCUUAACCUGGGAACUGCGUUUGAAACUACAAGGCUAGAGUGUAGCAGAGGGGAGUGGAAUUCCACGUGUAGCGGUGAAAUGCGUAGAGAUGUGGAGGAACACCGAUGGCGAGGGCAGCCCCCUGGGCUGACACUGACGCUGAGGCGCGAAAGCGUGGGGAGCAAACAGG